rnacentral:other from 1 species
UGUUUCCUGCGGCGUGCGAAUACGGACGUAAUUCUUUCCACAAUAUUAAAUAAGGGAGCGUGCCGUCCGAUAAAAAAGGCGUAUCUUGCGGUCGUUGUAUUUUGCAGACCAAAUUAAGCAAGAAGUUCUUAGUUUAUAGGCGACGCACCCACCUGCAAUCAAGCGGGUUGAAAUUUGUCUUAAAACGGCGCAAGCGGGAAACGA